CAGUAGCCGCGGUAAUACGAAGGGUGCAAGCGUUACUCGGAAUUACUGGGCGUAAAGCGUGCGUAGGUGGUGGUUUAAGUCCGUUGUGAAAGCCCUGGGCUCAACCUGGGAAUUGCAGUGGAUACUGGGUCACUAGAGUGUGGUGGAGGAUAGUGGAAUUUCCGGUGUAGCAGUGAAAUGCGUAGAGAUCGGAAGGAACAUCUGUGGCGAAGGCGACUAUCUGGGCCAACACUGACACUGAGGCACGAAAGCGUGGGGAGCAAACAGGAUUAGAUACCCGCGUAGUCCCUGUCUCUUAUAC
rnacentral:rRNA from 1 species